AGUGAACGCUGGCGGUAGGCCUAACACAUGCAAGUCGAACGGCAGCACAGUAAGAGCUUGCUCUUACGGGUGGCGAGUGGCGGACGGGUGAGGAAUACAUCGGAAUCUACUUUUUCGUGGGGGAUAACGUAGGGAAACUUACGCUAAUACCGCAUACGACCUACGGGUGAAAGCAGGGGAUCUUUGGACCUUGCGCGAUUGAAUGAGCCGAUGUCGGAUUAGCUAGUUGGCGGGGUAAAGGCCCACCAAGGCGACGAUCCGUAGCUGGUCUGAGAGGAUGAUCAGCCACACUGGAACUGAGACACGGUCCAGACUCCUACGGGAGGCAGCAGUGGGGAAUAUUGGACAAUGGGCGCAAGCCUGAUCCAGCCAUACCGCGUGUGUGAAGAAGGCCUUCGGGUUGUAAAGCCCUUUUGUUGGGAAAGAAAAGCAGCAGGUUAAUACCCCGCUGUUCUGACGGUACCCAAAGAAUAAGCACCGGCUAACUACGUG
rnacentral:rRNA from 1 species